GUGGGGAAUAUUGGACAAUGGGCGAAAGCCUGAUCCAGCCAUGCCGCGUGAGUGAUGAAGGCCUUAGGGUUGUAAAGCUCUUUCAGUAGGGAAGAUAAUGACGGUACCUACAGAAGAAGCCCCGGCUAACUUCGUGCCAGCAGCCGCGGUAAUACGAAGGGGGCUAGCGUUGUUCGGAUUUACUGGGCGUAAAGCGCACGUAGGCGGAUUGGUCAGUUAGAGGUGAAAUCCUGGAGCUCAACUCCAGAACUGCCUUUAAUACUGCCAGUCUAGAGUCCAGAAGAGGGGAGUGGAACUCCUAGUGUAGAGGUGGAAUUCGUAGAUAUUAGGAAGAACACCAGUGGCGAAGGCGGCUCACUGGUCUGGUACUGACGCUGAGGUGCGAAAGCGUGGGGAGCAAACAGGAUUAGAAACCCGGGUAGUCC
rnacentral:rRNA from 1 species